rnacentral:rRNA from 1 species
GAUGAACGCUGGCGGUAUGCUUUACACAUGCAAGUCGUACGCAAGUUUACUUGAGUGGCGGACGGGUGAGUAACACGUGAGAAUUCACCUUUAGGUGGGGAAUAACUUUUGGAAACGAUAGCUAAUGCCCCAUAUACUCGCAAGAGAGAAAAGAGUAAUCUGCCUAAAGAGAAGCUCGCGGCUGAUUAGCUAGUUGGUAAGGUAAUGGCUUACCAAGGCGACGAUCAGAGCUGGUUUGAGAGGUUGGCCGGCCUCAUUGGGACUGAGACACUGCCCAGACUCCGUACGGGGGCUGCAGUAACGAAUCUUCCGCAAUGCACGAAGUGUGACGGAGCGACGCCGCGUGUGGGACGAAGUCCUU